rnacentral:rRNA from 1 species
UUCCGGUUGAUCCCGCCGGACCCCACUGCUAUCGAGGUGGGACUAAGCAAUGCUAGUCGAACGACCCGAACUAUGUCGGGAAGUGGCACACGGCUCAGUAACACGUAGCUAACCUAACCUAAGGACGGAGAAAACCUCGGGAAACUGGGGUUAAUAACCGAUAGGUAUGAUGUCCUGGAAUGGUAUCAUGCCCAAAGGUGUUCACAGCAUGUUGUAAACAUGCCUUAGGAUGGGGCUGCGGCUGAUCAGGCUGUUGGCGAGGUAAUGGCUCACCAAACCUUUGACCAGUACGGGCCAUGAGAGUGGUAGCCCGGAGAUGGACACUGAGACAAGGGUCCAGGUUCUACGGAACGCAGCAUGCGCGAAACCUCCUCAAUGCACUCAAGUGCGAAGGGGUUACCUCGAGUGCCACCUGAUGAAGGUGGCUUUUGUAUAGUAUAACACGCUAUUCGAAUAAGAGGGGGGCAAGACUGGUGUCAGCCGCCGCGGUAACACCAGCCCCUCGAGUGGUGGGGAUGAUUAUUUGGCCUAAAGCGUCCGUAGCCGGCCAUGUAAGUCUCCCGUUAAAUCCAGCGUCUCAAGCGUUGGACUGCGGGAGAUACUACAAGGCUAGAGGGUGGGAGAGGUAUGCGGUAUUCUGGGGGUAGGGGCGAAAUCCUUUGAUCCCCGGAGGACCACCAGUGGCGAAGGCUGCAUACUAGAACACGCCUGACGGUCAGGGACGAAAGCUGGGGUAGCGAACCGGAUUAGAUACCCGGGUAGUCACAGCCGUAAACGAUGCACGCUAGGUGUUGGGUCGGCCACGAGCCGCCCCAGUGCCGCAGGGAAGCCGAUAAGCGUGCCGCCUGGGGAGUACGGCCGCAAGGCUGAAACUUAAAGGAAUUGGCGGGGGAGCACCACCAGGCGUGAAGCCUGCGGUUUAAUUGGAUUCAACGCCGGA